UGAAGCCCCUUACCUUAAUGUGUGUGAUGAGAUUGACAGGAAAAGGAAGCUGGACUUGUGAGGAUGGAAGGGAUCUGAGAAGACCGGAAGAACAAUGGUGAAGUAAAGUAGAAAAAGUGAGAACACUGGGUGGUCCAGUCUGAUGGAGAUUCAUCUGGAUGCAAAAUGUGAAGACAAGCCUUCAGUUCCCUUCUUGACCACCAGCAUGGAACUAAACAAUUAAACCUGUCAGAAAAAAAAAAGCUGCUGUAUUUUAAGGUAACAGAGACAUGGACUUUUUAAGGUAACAGAGACAUGGACUUGAGAAGACAACUUGGCUCAAUUCCUAGCUCUGCAACUUACUUACUAGGUUUGUGUCUUUGGACUGCAUCCUAACAAACAACUGUGUCAAGACAUUUGAACAGCAUAUUCUACACAAAUAAAAAGGAAAUGAUAAAGAUAAAAGAAAUUAAUAGAAUGGAAAGUGAUGGAGAUAAACAAGUGAAAAGAUGGUCCUUUGAAAAGACUAAAACAUGGCCAAUGCACUGGCAAGAAUGAUUGGGACAAUAAACAAAAUAUAUAUGCCAGGGCAGCUCCCGGCGAGAUCGACGCAAAA
rnacentral:lncRNA from 1 species